UUUGCAUUGGUUGAGUCUAGGGUCAGAGCAUUUAUUUUGUACUUUCCUCUCUCCCUCUGAAAUGUAAAUACAUUUCUUCAUGUGAUGAGUGAUUUACUUCAAUCCACAAAGCACAGAUUGGAUGUGUCAUAAAAUAUCUAAAUACCAGCUGGGUGGUCCCAGCAUGGAGCAUUGACGCAGUUCUUCAGAAACAGCUCUUCUUGCUUUGUGACUUGUGAGUAUGAAGAGCACCUCCUUACUCCAGGCUGAGGACCAUGGAGUCCUACAAACUGCCUGUUCACCAACUGUUAUGAAGAGGGAAAUGUGACUGUGUUGGAGACAAUGGAGUUUGAAAAAAACAGUGGGCUUGAGCUCAAGGAGUGGUAGCUGGUAAAUUUAUUCUGGAAAAUUCUGCAGACACAAG